rnacentral:rRNA from 1 species
UACGUAGGGGGCAAGCGUUGUCCGGAAUCAUUGGGCGUAAAGAGCGUGUAGGCGGCUCGGUAAGUCCGCUGUGAAAGUCCAGGGCUCAACCCUGGAAUGCCGGUGGAAACUGUCGAGCUAGAGUCCGGAAGAGGCGAGUGGAAUUCCUGGUGUAGCGGUGAAAUGCGCAGAUAUCAGGAGGAACAUCAAUGGCGAAGGCAGCUCGCUGGGACGGUACUGACGCUGAGACACGAAAGCCAGGGGAGCGAACGGG